UACGAAGGGGGCUAGCGUUGCUCGGAAUCACUGGGCGUAAAGGGUGCGUAGGCGGGUCUUUAAGUCAGGGGUGAAAUCCCAGAGCUCAACUCUGGAACUGCCUUUGAUACUGGGUAUCUUGAGUAUGGAAGAGGUAAGUGGAAUUCCGAGUGUAGAGGUGAAAUUCGUAGAUAUUCGGAGGAACACCAGUGGCGAAGGCGGCUUACUGGUCCAUUACUGACGCUGAGGUGCGAAAGCGUGGGGAGCAAACAGG
rnacentral:rRNA from 1 species